GACGAACGCUGGCGGCGUGCCUAAUACAUGCAAGUUGAGCGCUGAAGGUUGGUACUUGUACCAACUGGAUGAGCAGCGAACGGGUGAGUAACGCGUGGGGAAUCUGCCUUUGAGCGGGGGACAACAUUUGGAAACGAAUGCUAAUACCGCAUAAAAACUUUAAACACAAGUUUUAAGUUUGAAAGAUGCAAUUGCAUCACUCAAAGAUGAUCCCGCGUUGUAUUAGCUAGUUGGUGAGGUAAAGGCUCACCAAGGCGAUGAUACAUAGCCGACCUGAGAGGGUGAUCGGCCACAUUGGGACGGAGACACGGCCCAAACGCCUACGGGAGGCAGCAGUAGGGAAUCUUCGGCAAUGGACGAAAGUCUGACCGAGCAACGCCGCGUGAGUGAAGAAGGUUUUCGGAUCGUAAAACUCUGUUGGUAGAGAAGAACGUUGGUGAGAGUGGAAAGCUCAUCAAGUGACGGUAACUACACAGAAAGGGACGGCUAACUACGUG
rnacentral:rRNA from 1 species